GGGAGUUGUCCCAGGCCGCCGCGGAGAAAUGCGCCUCUGUUCGGGUUGGAAACGAAUCUGGGGACGUGUCUGAAGCGCGGUCAAGUUUGACUCAUCGCUUUCCAAGGACAGUUAGUGCCUUCCAUCUUCAUUAACGUGAAUAAAGACCUUAGCUGACUUCUGUCUAGAUCGAAUUUAAAAAAGCAUUGUUUGCUUGGGGAGAUGAUGCCUCUCUUUCCUGCCCCACAGUACCCCGCCCACCCCAACGCCGAUCUCAGUCCGGUCAGGAUGAGGGAAGAGAUCUCUUCUGAAGGACAUGGUUUGCUGGCAUUGUCAGCAGACCUUCUGGAGGCUGUCUCGACCAGGCUCGUGGGGAGCGUCCCUUCAGCUCUUCAGCUCUUGAUGAUAAAACACAUCCCUUUAUUUUAUUGCAUUUCCUCGAAGCUUGUAGGCUAGCAAGAGCUCUGAGGCAGGACACGUAACAGAAAUGAAAGUCAGGACACAAAGUCCUCUGGUUAGCUCACGCAGCUGCGGAUCCAUCGCACUAUCAACUUCUCUUUUUAUCUCUGUGUCAUUCCCGCCCAGAGGCAAGAGCAACAAUAUUGUCCUUCCCUACCUCCAGAACAGAAGCAACACUUUGACUCUACCCAUUUUCGCCAGAAGAGGCUGGCUAGACCUGAGCACCCUGUUGGGAAAGAGCGCUCCUGCUGGAGCUCAGGGGCAUGUUUCAACGCGUCAUCCCUACCCUCCUCCCGCCUUCAAACUCCUUGGACAGUGAUUUACAUUUUAUGAACCCUCUUUAGAUUUUUCGGAGAGCUAUUGAAGUUAUUAGACUACCAAUAACCCAACAACCAUCCUGGGUAGAGAGAAGUGGAAAAGCGUUCUCCAAAUCCAGACCCUGGCCAAACUAGGUCAAUGGGAAGGAGGGGCGGGGCGAGCAGCCGGCUAUGGUUUCAAGCCUUGAUGGAGAGCUCCCUCUAGCGUUAGACAGAAGUCCAGUAAGUGAGAAUGGUAACUCCUAGGAUAUUCAUUCCUGUCCCAUAUAAAAUUACCUUUGUCACCGUUAAUUCAUACCGAAGGAAAAGGAAACCACAAAACAGGGAACCAGACAGACCCCGUCUCUGGGUUGCGAAUCUGAUCCCGCCUCCAUCACUGAAGGGAUGUGCAGUGUAACGAUGCUACCCGUUACUUUUAGGACUGGAUGGAGGUUGUGCAGACCUCCCCAAAGGCACAAGGCUACCGAGAGCACUUAGGGGGUGGCCACACGGAGUUCAUUUCUGGGAAGGCGAGGCAACCCUGCUGUGUGUCAGAGGUUUCUCUGGGGUGGGCCCUGUUACCCAGUCUCCACGGUUUCAGGAAAAUAAGACACUGAAUUCCGGAGCACGUCUGGCUUCAGUCUGGUAGCUCCAACUCUAAAGAAGGUUGGGCGGAAAUCUCCCCUUUCUUGCCGACGUAGACUGAAGGGGUUUUCAGUUUACUUUUUUUUCCAGGUUUAGUCCUCCCCCACUCCCCACCCCUCGCGCCCCAAUUCGGCCAGGUUUCUCCAAGGAUGGAGACUCUUAGUCCCAGGACACAAUCUUUUUGGCCUUAAUUUCUUAUCUACCCAUUCCCUUCUAAAGCAGGGAAGGAGGUAGCAAGCGGGAAGACAGAAAGAAAACCCAAGAAAUAACAUCAAGACCCUAAGACAAACAAUAACAAAACAAAAGCAAACGAACCCUAGCACACUCAGUUGCCAGAAUAGGGCAAAAUAGAAAUCCUGAAGCGAGCCUCUGACUGUCUCCAGACUCUUGGACUCUGCUCUCUGCGGCUUUUAGCUUGCUGGGGGCAGGGAUAGGGACAGAGUAGACUCAGGUCUGGAACCCGGAACCCCUGUAGACAGCGGAUUUAGGGGAAAAGGGUGCUCUGUCCCCGGUCAGCUUUGUGCAGCCAGCGAUCCGGGGCUGGGCUGUCAGGCCGCGGCUUCCUGGAAAGUUACUUCUCGUUGGAGACCGCGCUGGGCAGGAGUGUUCUGUGAAAUCCUUAGAGCCGAGAUCGACUACGUUCCGGGAAUGAGAGGGCUGUACCAUUCCCCUGGUGGCCCCCUACUUUGACAGAAUAAC
rnacentral:lncRNA from 1 species